rnacentral:lncRNA from 1 species
UCCUUUUUUUAGAUGACUUUUAUUUUUCUGCAAGAUUACCUAAGCUUCUUUAUGAAUUUGAACAAUUUUAAGGUUCAUUCAGCCUAGGAAACUCUGUAAGUUAUUGUUCUAGAUUUUGUAAAAUUCUCUAGCUGUGUAUUUUAUUAUUUAAAAAUGUAAAAGUUCUUAGCUAAUAUAUAACUGUCAUCCAUGUGUAAUUAAGAUGUUACGGUAAUUUUUCUAACAUUUUCAGUCAAUUCUUAGUAGUGUUUUGGCCUGCAUUGUGAGUACAGUGGGAUUUUGCAUAGAAGUUUAUUUUACUUUUUUUACUUUUACUUAUUGAAAAUGAAGCACUAUAAAUGAAAAAAAAACAGUGAAUCAUAGUUUGUCAGUGAUUGUUUGAGAAUGCAGGGCCAGUAAUUUGAAUUAUCCUUUGACUCCUGUGCAUAUUUUCCUCUUU